GGGAGGCGCAAGACGUAAGACGGGUGACACUUUCUGCUGUACUGGGGAGACGGGGGUGACGGUGGAAAGGGAGAACUGGGGUGAUGCUCAGGGUGAGCAGAGCACUCAGCCAGCAUGUCUCAGUCUCUGCCCUUACUUGCUGACCCUGAACCUACAGUUCAUUUGUAUCUCUAUGGAAAAUCAAAAACUGUUCUUAACCCCUCAUCUACAUCUCCAUCCUCAUCCUCCCCCACAAAACCCGUAUGCUUUUCAGGUUAUAAGCACUUUGACAUGUAAAAUCUCUUCUGACCCACAAGACAACUCAAUGAAAUAGGUAUCAUUGCCUGGACUCUUCAGAGGAAGAGUCGGAGGUUCAGAAAGGGAACUGAAGUUGUUUAAGAUCACCUAGGUUGUAGGGCUGAGAUUGGAACAGAGUCCAUUCUUUGAACUUCAAGUCCAUAUGUUUCCAGCUCCCAAAUGGCUGCAAGGGUUGGAGUAAAUGCAAUCCUUGAAGUCAAGACUGUUAGUUGAAACCACAUGUCUCCGAGUGGCUGCUUUCCUGAGGACUCCCAGAACCACACUCAGGAAAGGAGUCGUUGAUCCAUUCAUGAGCUUAGUGAAUCCUUGAAGUGGAGGGCACUCUGCACAUUCUCUGCCCAGACUCUUCAAAUUUCACAUGGGGGAAGUGCAGCCCUCAGAGACAUGUGCAUGUUCAAAGUCAGGUAGAGAGCAAUGGACAAGGCUAAGAUUUCACCUGCUGGUCAUUGCCAUCUGCUCAGGCACUGCUCUCUUUUGAUGGCUUUUUAGCUACCAGCAGCAUUACAAGAUCAUGGCUACUCUAAAAGCCUCCACCAUCACUGUGAGGUAAAGUAACAUUUUCUUCCAGCAGGGACAUGGGCAGAAGAACCAUGAAUGGAGGGAGGCCAACAUACUCCGAUCUCAGCUGUCAUUUUGAAUUUGAUCUCCUCUGUGCCAGAAAUCAGAUUUAUUGCUGGUGAGAAUGGUGACUCAUGCUCUUUUGAUGCCAACCAACUAAUUUAUCCUGCUGUGGUUUGGCCAGAUGGACAGGGCACACACCAUAAUCAUCCAAGAGGUGAAGAUGAAUUCAGAGGAAACCUCUACAGGGAUUGA
rnacentral:lncRNA from 1 species